AACAGGAUUAGAUACCCUGGUAGUCCACGCCGUAAACGAUGAGUGCUAGGUGUUAGGCCCUUUCCGGGGCUUAGUGCCGGAGCUAACGCAGUAAGCACUCCGCCUGGGGAGUACGACCGCAAGGUUGAAACUCAAAGGAAUUGACGGGGGCCCGCACAAGCGGUGGAGCAUGUGGUUUAAUUCGAAGCAACGCGAAGAACCUUACCAGGUCUUGACAUCCCGAUGCUAUUCUUAGAGAUAGGAAGUUACUUCGGUACAUCGGAGACAGGUGGUGCAUGGUUGUCGUCAGCUCGUGUCGUGAGAUGUUGGGUUAAGUCCCGCAACGAGCGCAACCCUUAUUGUUAGUUGCCAUCAUUAAGUUUGGCACUCUAGCGAGACUGCCGGUAAUAAACCGGAGGAAGGUGGGGAUGACGUCAAAUCAUCAUGCCCCUUAUGACCUGGGCUACACACGUGCUACAAUGGUCGGUACAACGAGUUGCGAGUCGGUGACGGCAAGCUAAUCUCUGAAAGCCGAUCUCAGUUCGGAUUGGAGGCUGCAACUCGCCUCCAUGAAGUCGGAAUCGCUAGUAAUCGCGGAUCAGCACGCCGCGGUGAAUACGUUCCCGGGCCUUGUACACACCGCCCGUCACACCACGAGAGUUUGUAACACCCGAAGUCGGUGAGGUAACCUUUUAGGGGCCAGCCGCCUAAAGUGGGAUGGAUGAUUGGGGUGAAGUCGUAACAAGGUAGCCGUA
rnacentral:rRNA from 1 species